CACUCAUUUUGUAUUGGGAGGAAGUAAUUCCACAUCAGAAGGUGUGGCUUCCAUCAGACCCCAGCACCUCUCACUUCAGAAAUAAAGUACUACUGAAGAUGCAGUUGGGUGUUCCUGUUAGCAACAGGAGGCAGAAAUUGGCAAGAGUCCCAAGACUUAUAGCUUCAAAAGGUUACUUCAGUCCACCAUGAAGUAAUGCUGCUAGUCAAGUCUACAUGCCAACAACCUCUUCACCAAAGAGUCACAAAUUGCUUUUAUGUGCAGUAUGUCUCAGAAAGCCAUCAGACAGCAGCCUGUGAUUGGAGGACUGAUAAUCCUUAU